CCUACGGGAGGCAGCAGUGGGGAAUAUUGGACAAUGGGCGAAAGCCUGAUCCAGCCAUGCCGCGUGUGUGAAGAAGGUCUUCGGAUUGUAAAGCACUUUAAGUUGGGAGGAAGGGCAGUAAGCGAAUACCUUGCUGUUUUGACGUUACCGACAGAAUAAGCACCG
rnacentral:rRNA from 1 species